rnacentral:rRNA from 1 species
GAUGAACGCUGGCGGCGUGCCUAAUACAUGCAAGUCGAGCGAACAGACGAGGAGCUUGCUCCUCUGACGUUAGCGGCGGACGUGUGAGUAACACGUGGAUACCCUACCUAUAAUACUGGGAUAACUUCGGGAAACCGGAGCUAAUACCGGAUAACAUGUUGAUCCGCAUGGUUCAACAGUGAAAUACGGUCUUUCUGUCACUUAUAGCUGGUUCCGCGCCGCAUUAGCUAGUUGUUAAGGUAACGGCUUACCAAGGCAACGAUGCGUAGCCGACCUGAGAGGGUGGUAGGCGGCACUGGAGCUGAGACGCGGUCCAGACGCCUACGGGAGGCAGCAGUAGGGAAUCGGACGCAAUGGGCGAAAGCAUGACGGAGCAACGCCGCGUGAGUGGAGAAGGUGUUCGGAUCGUAAAAAUCUGUUAUUAGGGAAGAACAGAUGUGUAAGGAAAUGUGCACGUCUUGACGGUAACUAGUCAGAAAGCAACGGCUAACUACGUG